GGGUUGUGAGGUUAAGCGACUAAGCGUACACGGUGGAUGCCCUGGCAGUCAGAGGCGAUGAAGGGCGUGCUAAUCUGCGAUAAGCGCCGGUAAGGUGAUAUGAACCGUUAUAACCGGCGAUUUCCGAAUGGGGA
rnacentral:rRNA from 1 species